rnacentral:rRNA from 1 species
CAAUAGCGUAUAUUUAAGUUGUUGCAGUUAAAAAGCUCGUAGUUGGAUUUCGGUUAAGAGCGAUCGGUCCGCCGUUUGGUGUGCAUUGGUUGGUUUUAACUUCCUGUAGAGGACGUGCUCUGGGUUUAACGACCUGGACUCGGAGUCUACGUGGUUACUUUGAAAAAAUUAGAGUGUUCAAAGCGGGCUUACGCUUGAAUAUUUCAGCAUGGAAUAACACUAUAGGACUCCUGUCCUAUUUCGUUGGUCUCGGGACGGGAGUAAUGAUUAAGAGGAACAGUUGGGGGCAUUCGUAUUUCAUUGUCAGAGGUGAAAUUCUUGGAUUUAUGAAAGACGAACUUCUGCGAAAGCAUUUGCCAAGGAUGUUUUCAUUAA